UGUCAACGUCAGCCUUAGGCAAGUUGACGUCUACUUCAGGGCCCUCUGCUUUGAAGCCAGGCAUGCUGAACUUGGGCAUUUUCAUCUUGGGCAUCUUCAGGUGCCAGUCUGGGCCAUGAACAUCCACAUCUGGGGCAUCAAUGUCCACUUUGGGCCCUCUGAUGUCAACAUCUGGCACUUUCAUUUCACCUUCUACCUUGGGAACAGACACAUCCAUAUCUGGGGCAUCAAUGUCCACUUUGGGCCCUUUAAUGUCAACAUCUGGCACUUUCAUUUCACCUUCUACCUUGGGCACAGACACAUCCAUAUCCCCUUUGACUUUGGGGCCUUUCAAGUGUAAGUCCACAUCAGGCAUGGAGAUCUUGGGGGCCUUGAAGUGCAUCUCAGGCAUCUUAAACUUGGG
rnacentral:lncRNA from 1 species